GACUUGGUGGAGCCGUCGCGGCAGCGGCUGUCCGGACCGGUAGUCGGCGGUCCCACGGUUCCCUCCCGGCCUCCGCCCCUCGGAGCCAGAUUUUCCUGGCACCUUUCGUCCUUUUCAUCUUGUAUUGGGUUGAUUAUAAACAGAAACCAUGACGGCAGCCGAGAACGUGUGCUAUACGUUAAUUAACGUGCCAAUGGAUUCAGAACCCCCUUCGGAAAUCAGCUUAAAAAAUGACCUGGGUAAAUAGUUUCUUAACUCAAAUAGGAAUUAUUUUAAUUGAUAGAUUAAAAACGUAAAAGAUGGACAAAUUAAUAUGGUGUUUUUUAAUACAUAUCUAUAUGGUCUGAUAUUUAAAUCCUGUCAAAUAUAAUUAUCUCAAACAUUCAUCUUUUCUUCAUAGUGAAAACAUUUCACAUUCUUUCAUAGAGAUUUUUUUAUUUUUUUGAGAUUUUAAAAAUAUAUAUACAGUAUAUAGUUAUUAAUUGUAGUAUACAGUGUCAUACCUGAACUUUUUUAUCUUGUACUCAGCAGCCAUUGACCAAUCCGCCUCUCCCAGCCUUCCUUCCUUCUUACUCUCCUAGGCUCUGUGAGCCACGGUCCUUUUUUUUUCUUUUUGUUUUCCUUUUUCCUUCUUAAAUAAAGCCUUACUCUUUCCCUAGGUCAGCCUGGAACUCACUAAUAGGCCAGGGCAGCCUCCAACUUAUGUCAGGUCUUAGUUCAGCCUCCAAGGGUUACAGGUGCAGGCCACUAUUCACCUUUUACUUUCAACUUCUCUGAUGAUGUAAGUUAAUACUUCAUAAAAUGUUUCUACUCUCAACCUCCUUUCACCUGAGGAAGUUUCUUAUUUAUUAUGUGUGUAUGUGCACAAAAAUGUGCUAGUCAUGUAUGUAUAAAGUGAAUUUAUAUGUGAGGCCAGGGGUAAACCUUAGGUGCCUCCCUCAAUCAUACUCCACCUUACUUGUUUUUUUUUAGACUUUGGAUUUUUAUAAGAUUUAUUUUUAAUUGUGUAUAUGGGGAGGUGCCCGUGUGUGUAAUGCUCAGGAAGGCCAGCUGUGUAGGCUCCUCCUGGAACUGGGAGCCACUCGAUGUGGGUUCUCUGCAAGCGCAUUAUGUGCUGUUAGCCACUGAGCCGUUUCCAGUUCUCAGUCUUAUUCUUUACUAUUUAUUAGUGGGAAGUGGGGAGACAAACAUGCAUAGCACCAGUGUAGGUGUCAGCUCUCUCCUACCAUGUGGGUUUUAGGCAUUGAACUCAGGUGGUCAAGCGUGGCAACAAGUGCCUUUUACCUGCUGAGCAUGCUCAGUGGCUCCCUUCACAUGCUUUUUAGACAAGGGAUCUCUCACUGACCCUGAAGCUUGCUGACUUAACUAGACUAGCCGGCCAGCAAGUCCUAGCGAUCCUCUUGUUUCCGCCUCCCCUUAACGCACUAAGGUUAUAGGCGUGUGCUAUGCCUGACUUUUACAUGGGUGUAGAAAUUGAACUCAGAUCCUCAGUGCUUAUGUGGCCAGCACUUUACUUACUGAGCCAUCUCUCCAGACAACAUUUUUUUUUUAUUUGUCUUAUUUUUUGAGUCAGGGUUUCUCUGUGUAACAGCACUGGCUCUCCUGGAACUCACCUUGUAAACCAGACUGGCCUUGAACUCAGAGAUCUACCAGCCUCCUAAGUGCUGGGAUUAAAGAUGUGCUCCACUAUGCCCCGCCCCAUACAAAGAAUACAUUUUUAAUCAUACAUUAUGAUAGUACAAUUCAAUCACAGACUAAUUUGAUGACCAUAGGAAAACAAAAAACCUUGUAAGUAUAGUAAAAGCAUUGCAGCUCAUACCAUACAGUUUGAGAUCUGAGCUGAGGUGCUUCAAACAUUAUUUGGUGUUAUGUGUUAUAAUAUAAUGUAAUGUAAACAUGUCAUGUGCUCAAAACCAAGACUGCAUCAAAGUCAUACAGUGCAACACAGGCAGAUGUUACCAGAAAUACUGGAUUUUGAAUUGUGUGGUGUGUGUGUGUGUGUGUGUGUGUGUGUGUGUGUGUGUGUAUGUGCUUAGAAACUUUUUGCUGAUGCCAAAUUCUAUGUUCAGUUGUGGUACCCCAAAAUGAGUGACUCUCGGUGUAAGAAGCUAGGAUUAGCGGCUGGAUAGCAGUUAAGAGCACAAGCUUGUCUUCCAGAGGACCAGGGUUUAGUCCCUAGCACCCACGUGAUUGCUUACAAACUGUAAUUGUGGUUCCAGUGGAUAUGAUGCCCUCUUCUGGUCUCCCAAGAGCACUACAUGCAUAUGAUCCACAGACACACAUUCUGGGAGAGACACCAAUACAC
rnacentral:lncRNA from 1 species